GAUGAACGCUGGCGGCGUGCUUAACACAUGCAAGUCGAACGGGAAUGCUUCGCUGAUGCGAUUUCGGUCAAAUCUUGAAGCAUUUUAGUGGCGGACGGGUGAGUAACGCGUGGGUAACCUGCCCUGUACAGGGGGACAACAGUUGGAAACGACUGCUAAUACCGCAUAAGCGCACGGCUUCGCAUGAAGCAGUGUGAAAAACUCCGGUGGUACAGGAUGGACCCGCGUCUGAUUAGAUAGUUGGUGAGGUAACGGCCCACCAAGUCAACGAUCAGUAGCCGGCCUGAGAGGGCGAACGGCCACAUUGGGACUGAGACACGGCCCAAACUCCUACGGGAGGCAGCAGUGGGGAAUAUUGCACAAUGGGGGAAACCCUGAUGCAGCGACGCCGCGUGAGUGAAGAAGUAUUUCGGUAUGUAAAGCUCUAUCAGCAGGGAAGAAAACAAUGACGGUACCUGACUAAGAAGCCCCGGCUAACUACGUGCCAGCAGCCGCGGUAAUACGUAGGGGGCAAGCGUUAUCCGGAUUUACUGGGUGUAAAGGGAGCGUAGACGGUAAACCAAGUCUGAAGUGAAAGCCCGGGGCUCAACCCCGGAACUGCUUUGGAAACUGGUAAACUAGAGUGCAGGAGAGGUAAGUGGAAUUCCUAGUGUAGCGGUGAAAUGCGUAGAUAUUAGGAGGAACACCAGUGGCGAAGGCGGCUUACUGGACUGUAACUGACGUUGAGGCUCGAAAGCGUGGGGAGCAAACAGGAUUAGAUACCCUGGUAGUCCACGCCGUAAACGAU
rnacentral:rRNA from 1 species